GGCACUCCCUCCCCCACGCGGCCGCGGCCGAUCCUACCACGAGUCAGCCAGGAAACCUUCCGCUUCCAGCCGCCGGCCGGGGAUUUCAGCAGCCUCAACGGCAGCACACGUCAACGAAAGCGAGGCAACAGGCUCCAGGCAGGCGGCAGCCAUCCAAGAAAACAUUGUGAUGUGGCUCACUGGCUCCUGUGGUGAACAGGUGAUAGCGAACGAGCAAAUCCUCACAAGCUAUAGGCCGGGCCCUACAAGGCUAUAAUUAGUAAUGAGGAAACGUGAGUGGACCGCUACAGUUCAAAAGCAGCUAUUGUUAGCAGGUUUAUCGAAAUAUUUCUUCUUUAUAUAUAGAAAAAACGAAAUCGAAAUAUUUUUUUUGACGAUCUGAUCAUGGAAUGGCUGAUGUGAACGUUCUUAACUAAUAAGGAAGAAUUGUGGUGGCUGUUUACAACUUUUUCAAAA